GCGCGGGGACUCGGUGUGGCUGCGGCGCGGAGGUUGCGGGCAGGUGGGGGAUCCGAGGCGCUGGGGUCAGGCGUGUGGGGCGCUCCCUGCGCCCACGUCCCCACUUCUCCGCCGCCCUUUGUCUCUGAGCUCCUGCUUGCCCCUUAGAGCCGUUGCCACCGCUUUUCUCCUGGUCGUUCUGCAAGGAGAAGCAGCAUUGUGGUUUCAGGAGAUGGGUCCAUUUGGAGCAGGAUCCUAAGUGGGGCUUGGCAUUGGGAAUUUGGAUUAGCUCUAGAGGACGCAGGAUCUGGAAAAUCAGGGCAGAUUUCCCAUCCCUUGGAUAUGGUGGGGAGUUGAGGAGGGCAAGGAAGAUCCCAGAAAAGCCAGUGGCAGCAAAACACAAAGGCCAGGGACCUACGUACUGGUAAAACUGAGACCUCCAAGAAACCUGCAGCUCGACCUGGUUGAAUUCAGG
rnacentral:lncRNA from 1 species